ACACAGACAGACGCGGUCUCCAGUGGUCUGCUAGAAUCUCAAGUGGCAUUUUCUUUUGAUCUGCCCCAACAAUUGAGCGUGUGGGUGGCAAAGUUGGGGGAAUAGGAUCCCCUAGUCAUAGCACAUGCUUCAGAAUCUAAGAAGGUUCGAACUAGGACCAGAAACUCGAAAAACAAAACAACACAUGCAUAGUGUGUCUCUCUGUCUACGCCUCCACUUUCACUUUAGCCGGCUGGUGUGCUUAAGACCGUGAGCGGACGCUCCGAAAGUUGUCCCAGUCCAGAGGAACCGAGCCCCCUGGCUGCGGGUGCGUUCCCAUCCUAGCCCAGAAGGAAGGAGGGCGCUCCUACAUUGAAUCCAUUCAAAGGCUGGGGGUUGGGGGAGCAGGACCUGGAGCCGCGCGGCGCUGACGCACGCGAGGCGCGUGAUUGACGCAGGCGAUGUUUCUAAAUUGGGCGGUUGGCCGGGCCCAGGCGGCGGCGCGCGCGGCAGAUAGCGGAGUAGAUUCCCCUCGGUCACCCCCUCCCGUCUCCAUUCAGCGCGGCGCGGCGUGGGGCGGGGCGGGGUGGGACGCGCGCGUCCGCGCCGGGAUCCGGCGAACCAAAUAUAGACGGGUCCCAGCUAUUUUUAGUGGGACGUCGGGCGCGCGCACGCGCGCGCCGCGCUAAGGGGCGCCCCGACUCUGCCCGGAGAGCGGACUGCCGAGUCGCCAUCUUGUACUCGGUUCGACCCUGUCUGAUGCCCGGCAACGUGGGGCCGAGGGUAGGGGGCUGGAAGGGAGGCGCGGGCGCGAGCGAGGCGCGCUGCCUGGGGUGCGCGCGCCCCGAAGGCCGAGCGCGAUCCUCCCCAUCUGCUCGCCCGGGCAUUGCAAGCCUCUGGGCCAGGUCCCGCCACCGAGCCUGCCCGACCAGCCCCGACUCGCGAGGGGGCGGAGCUGCCUGCGGCCACCACUUCCUGAGAGCCGGGGAUACCCAUCCCGGACGUCACGGAGGAGUCGAGGCGGCGGUGGCGGCCCGGGGCUCAGCCUGCACUUGCAUCAUGGGUGCAGCAGCAGCUGCCCCGAUCCUUUGUGCCUUUUUCCCCCUAUUGAGUAACUGCUUUGUUAACUGAAAAUACCAUGACGGACCAGUGUGAUCACCAGUUCCAGACCUCAAAGAAAGUGAAGCUGUCAGGCAAGAAGAGGGAGACUCCCCCAGCCGGCUGCGAUGGUAUCUGGUGGGUGGGUGUGUAGAGAAGCACUUGACAGUUUUCCACGUAUUACUUCUUGCCUAACUCUUCACCCUUAAGAAGGUUUAAAAAUAAUUUUAUUUCCAUGCUGUAAAAAUUUCAUCUGUGUUCUGCACCCCACCCAUUCUCCUUCACUUUAAAAUCUCAUGCAGAACUGGAAUCACUCAAUUCAGGAACCCUAAAAUUAGGUACAAUUUUUAGGAGACAUGACAUCUUUCCAUGGAAUUAUAGAAUGCGUUCCAUUUUCUAAUUUAAUAUGUGAAAGGUCCUUGCUCACUCGGUUUAUUAUAAAGUCACUAACUUUGUUCAUGUGAAUUGGAGGGUUCCGGUGUCCUGAGUUGAGACAGAAGUAAUUUACCGGAUCUAUGAUAAUGCCACUUAUGUGUGUGGUGGUAACAAAACCCCCGGUAUCAUGGACACUCCUGGAUUGAAGGAGGAUCUUCUCCGGCUCUUAGCACUUAGGACUCUAUAUAAACGGUGCUUUUUAUUUCUGGGUAGUAGUAUUGGGGGGGAAACACUUAUCCUAGUUUACCUUAAAAAAUAAAUUUCACCCUUAGCUAGCUGGGAAUCUCCAGGAGCAGAUUUGAUCUUUGAGUGGGUGUGCGUUUGGGGACCGAUCCUGGCUAUUUUUACAUUACUUUCUUCUUGUGCUUUAUUUUAUAUCCUUCCAGUCCUGAGGGUCACUCAGGUCACCUGCCCUAGUUCCUUAAUGCUCAGUCAGGGUGAGCUAGUCUACUGUUCCUAGCUGGGGCUGCCUAGGGUGGAGAGCUGGAUUCACUGUGGGAGAGUUUGCAGUGGUUAUUGAUAACUGACAAGUUUCUGAAACUCAGAAGAAAAGUCAUGAAAGCAGAGCCAGGUCUGGGCACCCUCCUCUGCUCCAUCCAAGGUCCCUAAUGAAGGCAGCUCUUUCCAUGAGCCAGACAGACUUUUUAAAGUAUAUGUUCAUAGCUAUUCUUUUCUGCACUUUAAAGGCCAGACUUACUACAAAUAGAAAACAAUAUUCUGUGAGGCCUAUGCAAUGAUUUAAUUUUAUUUUUAGAAAUCUAUAUUACUUUUUUGAUUACAAUAUUCUUAAGUGAAAUUCAGUACUGGAUACAACUAUAUCUCCUGUUUUCAGAUACCAAAUAGAAUAAGUGCCUUAAUCGGUGGCAUAAUGAAGACAUCCCAGGUUUGGUCCUUUCUCUAGAAAAAAAAAAAGGACUUUCAUGUAUGUUCUUGCUUGUAAUGUUAAGAAAGUAAUUUCUGCUUUUUCAACAGCAGUCUGUUAGAAACUAUCUAUACAGUAAUUAUUAUAGGUUUGUAAGAUAACUUUCAUUUAUUUUAUUUUGAUGUGGAUUUGUAAUGCUAAUUUGCAUGAAAAAAGAAAGAUAUAUUUCUCUCAAAAAAUAAAAUAAGAGAUUUGAGGAAAUUUUGUAUGUUCAAUAUAAAACAAUUAUUUUUAACAAAAGUAGGAUUAAAAACAACUGUCUAAAAAGAAUGCCAUGUAAUCUUGUUGAUUUUACUAGUGUGUAAAGAAUGGUUACUAUUAAAAGUAAGGAAGGGUGAAAAAGAAAUAUAAUCCAAGAGCCGGUGAGAUGGCUCAGUGGGUAAGAACACUUGGUAUGCAAGCAUGAGGAGCAGGGUUUGAAUCCCCAGCAUCUAUGUUAAAAGCCAUGCAUGGCUCUGUGUCUAACUCAGCUUUGGGAGACAGGAGACAUAGAGAUCCUGGGAGAUUGUUAGCUAGCCUCUCUGGCCAAACCAGCUUGAAACUCUGCUUCUAUGAGACCCUGUGUCAGGAGAAUAAGGUGGAGGGCUACAGAGGGAGUUGUAUGCCCAUUUCUGAUUUCCACAUGUAUGUGCACCCGCACAUGUUCAUGCACCAUAUACACACCUACAUGCAUUGCACACACACACACACACACACACACACACACACACACAGAGAGAGAGAGAGAGAGAGAGAGAGAGAGAGAGAGAGAGAGAUUGCAAGGAAAAGUUGUCAUCUAAUGAAAAUAAGUUUUGAAUUUUAAGUCUGUAUUUUCUAAAACGAGGGCAGAGGUUCUAUACAAAACACAUGCAUGCACACACACAAGCAUGUAUAUAUAAAAUUUACUGACUUCAGCUGAUACACACACACCUUCAGUUGUACCUGGCCCCAGAAUCAAGGACCAUUGUAAACUUUCAAAUCAGUUUAUCUUUGUCAGAUUAGUCUUCCUAAAAUACACCUUUUGUUUUGUUACCUAUGGCCUCAAAAGGCUUCAGCAGCUGGAUUUUGUCUCCCCAAAGACAAAGGUCUGUUAUUUCCAGACUCUUUCUGUCUAUCUGAACUGCUAUCCCCCCCCUCCCUCCCUCCCUUCUUCCCUCCCUCCCUCCCUCCUUCCUGGAUAGCCUUCUCCUUCCCCACUUGUUAGAGUCUAAGAUGAGCUUAUGAAGAACCAGCUUGCGCCUUUUGUCUUUCAUUGUGUUCUCCUUUUGCUCUCUAACUCGCUUUUGUCCAUAGCUUACAAUCCCGCCAAGCCACAGGCAUCAGACCCCUGCCUCACAUCCCUGAGAAUUCUGUGGGACCCAAGAGUGUUCACAGAUCAUAAGUAGCCCUAAAAUGUGCCCUAUCUAACUUGGAUGCAGACAGAUGGCUGCCAGAGUAAUUUGUAUGGCAGGUAUACGGGUAGGGCACUUUUGGCGUGGAUGGAUAAAGUUGAGGUCACACUAGCGCUGUUUGCUUUACCUGAACUUUUCAUAUUCCUGACUGAACAGAGCUCGUCAAGGUGCCCGCCAGAAGCACAGGCAGCUGCGUGGUGACACAAGGAAGUGACAGUUUGGCUUGUUGCGUAGGAAGCUUUGCUGUGAUCUUUUCUUUUCUUUUCUGGCAGACUUUUGGUUUGACUCUGCCUCUGUUCUGAGUUCCUUCCUCCCUGUUUGGUUUCUCUUAGGCCACUUUCAACUCUGAACUGUGGAUGCUUUAGGCUCCCAAGUGUUACUGUCUUUCUGGGGAAAACUACUUGAAUACUUAGAAAACUGGGAACUAUGACAUCUAUGUUCAGUCAGUUGGAUGCAGAACAUUCUUGAAUUUCUUAUCGUUUCAAACGUUGAAAUAGACUCGUAUGCCACUCUGUUAUGUGGGGAGACGAAGUGGGCAAAGAUUUGGGGAUUAUGACUUGUUACAAGCUCAUGCAACUCAAACUGGCAAAUCUUACUUUAACAAAGAAAAAAGCUAGACAAACAACGCAGGGAAGAGUUCUGGUUUUUAUAGAACAUUUUGUAAAAUGUAAAAACCUGAGAUGGAAAGACUGUUUUGUGGCAUAAGGGCUAAUAAAUAAUAUUCUACAGUGUCAUCAAUGGCUUCCUAUCCACCUGCCAUGCUCAUGGCCAGGAGAGGCUUGUAAUCUCCCUUAAAAGAUUACUUGAUUCUUAGUCCUGUUCUUCCUUGUCCCUGGUAGGUGGAAGGCUGCAGUCAUUUAGGAGGGAAGGUUUACUGCUCAUGUGUAACAAGCCAGUUUUGGUUUUACCUGGCUGCUCAAUUCUUGUUCAUUAUCCCAGCCGUGAAAAAAAAUACUGACACACACGUUUGCUUCCAUUUCUCCAAAAGUGUGAGGCCGUGUGGCCCAGAGGCAGGGACGGGCCUUGGCUACUGUGAAGCCACUGAAUCUUGGUACAUUAAUCUUUUAGGGGCCUAAAUGCCAGGAUCUGUAAUCAGCAGUGUUGAGUCCCCUUUCUGAUCCUUGUAGGUCCUAAAGUUGAAUGCUUUUCUGAACCACUUAAAUUCUGUGAAUCACCAGCCAGCCUUGCCUCAGUCUUCCGAGUUACCACUGUGGUCAGGAGGCUCAUUAAGUCUUCUGUGGGGCACCUUUGCUUUCGGUAGUACUGCUACAUUGGUAGUAAUAUUUUAUUACAUUGCUUUGGCUUGCAUGGUAAUGAACUCUGAACUCCAGCCAUCCCUGUCCG
rnacentral:lncRNA from 1 species